GAAGUGAUUAUCAUUAACGAAACCCUAAAAAUAUUUAUAGACAGUCAAGAUUAUAUGAAAUUGCAAGCAUUUAAAAUUGUUCUCCACAUACCUCAAAUACACAACCAUACAUUGGCAUUGAAAAAUGUCAUAACACCACACUCAUUUACCACCCUCCUGCUCAAAUAAUAUUCUAGAUAAAACUUGUAUGAUUAGGCAGGGCAGGGUGGCUCAUGCCUGUAAAUCCCAGCACUUUGGGAGGCCGAGGUGGGUGGAUCACGAGGUCAGGAGUU
rnacentral:lncRNA from 10 species